rnacentral:lncRNA from 1 species
AAGGCCCGUAGCAAUGCGGUUGUCACGGCUAGGUCCGAGGGAAUGCUAUGGUCUAGGUGGUGCAAGCAUACAAGGUGGUUAGGAUAAACACGCGAAAAACAAGGUAAAGCCCGAUGGCCAUGGCAAGGCGACUCGCAGCCAUGAGCUCCACCUAUCGAGUUGGCUUCCGACUGUUCCACAAGGGUUGCUCCUAAUCUGUAUCCCACUAGACUAGAUCACAGAGGACUCGAAGGUGCGGGUAAGAACC